rnacentral:rRNA from 1 species
GAUGAACGCUAGCGACAGGCCUAACACAUGCAAGUCGAGGGGCAUCAUGAUCCGUAGCAAUACGGGUUGAUGGCGACCGGCGCACGGGUGAGUAACGCGUAUGUAAUCUGCCUGUAACAGAGGGAUAACCCGGAGAAAUCCGGACUAAUACCUCAUAAUACACAGGAUUCGCAUGAGUUCUAUGUUAAAGGGAAUCGGUUACAGAUGAACAUGCGUUCCAUUAGUUGGUUGGCGGGGUAACGGCCCACCAAGGCUACGAUGGAUAGGGGUUCUGAGAGGAAGGUCCCCCACACUGGUACUGAGACACGGACCAGACUCCUACGGGAGGCAGCAGUGAGGAAUAUUGGUCAAUGGGCGGAAGCCUGAACCAGCCAAGUCGCGUGGAGGAAGACGGCCCUACGGGUUGUAAACUCCUUUUACCUGGGAAUAACGGGCGCUACGCGUAGCGCUAUGCAUGUACCAGGCGAAUAAGCAUCGGCUAAUUCCGUGCCAGCAGCCGCGGUAAUACGGAAGAUGCGAGCGUUAUCCGGAUUUAUUGGGUUUAAAGGGUGCGUAGGCGGAAGAAUAAGUCAGCGGUGAAAUGCUUCAGCUCAACUGGAGAAUUGCCGAUGAAACUGUUUUUCUAGAGUAUAAAAGAGGUAUGCGGAAUGCGUGGUGUAGCGGUGAAAUGCAUAGAUAUCACGCAGAACCCCGAUUGCGAAGGCAGCAUACUGGGCUAUAACUGACGCUGAAGCACGAAAGCGUGGGUAUCGAACAGG